AUCCAGCUGAUGAGUCCCAAAUAGGACGAAACGCGCGUCCCGGAU
rfam:Schistosoma mattheei strain Denwood, Zambia genome assembly, scaffold: SMTD_scaffold0008219